rnacentral:rRNA from 1 species
AUUGAACGCUGGCGGCAUGCCUUACACAUGCAAGUCGAACGGCAGCGGACCUUCGGGUGCCGGCGAGUGGCGAACGGGUGAGUAAUAUAUCGGAACGUACCUUUCAGUGGGGGAUAACGUAGCGAAAGUUACGCUAAUACCGCAUAUUCUGUGAGCAGGAAAGCAGGGGAUCGCAAGACCUUGCGCUGAUUGAGCGGCCGAUAUCAGAUUAGCUAGUUGGUGAGGUAAAGGCUCACCAAGGCGACGAUCUGUAGCGGGUCUGAGAGGAUGAUCCGCCACACUGGAACUGAGACACGGUCCAGACUCCUACGGGAGGCAGCAGUGGGGAAUUUUGGACAAUGGGCGCAAGCCUGAUCCAGCCAUGCCGCGUGAGUGAAGAAGGCCUUCGGUUGUAA